rnacentral:lncRNA from 10 species
CUAGAGAACCCUGACUAAUACAAGGGGUCAGGCACAAGUACGCAUGUGGAAGUGGGGGCUAGGGCUCAAGGCUAUAUGCAGGCAUGUAUGUGUUGGCAGUGUAGGGUCUCUGGGCUGAGGUUCCUGGGUCAGCAGCGGCUGGGGUGACUCUGGAAAGGAGACAGAGAGAGAUGGUGACUCAGGGAACUUGCAAGCUAUGGAAUUCCUGCUCUGUGCUGAGCAGUGCUGGCCUGGAAGAUGGGAAGGAGAUGGAGUCAAAAUGAAACUGUCCUUCUUAGCCUUUUUGUGAAGUAAUUUUGGGAUUAUUUCUUCCACCGUAACUGCUUAAGUGGACUCUGGGGUUUUUCCAGAGUUAUUUGUGUUUGUGAAUAGCUAUUUAAUUGUUCUUUGUCAGAAGAAUGAAGGCUGAGACCUCCUUCUCCACCAUCUUGCUGACAUUACUCUGCUUCCAGGUUUAUCCUUGAUACUCAAGAUAAUGUUGGUGAAAGCUCUAAAGUGCUCUAUACAUUCUAGCCAUUGUUAUUUACCCCCAAAGUUGUAUUUUUUGAUGCCACAAUUUUAAAUAACAUAUUUAAAGCACUUAAAUUUUUGUAAAAAUAAUAAAAUCACUAUGACACCAAAAA